rnacentral:rRNA from 1 species
GGCAGCAGCUAAGAAUAUUCCGCAAUGGACGAAAGUCUGACGGAGCGACGCCGCGUGGAUGAUGAAGGCCGGAAGGUUGUAAAAUCCUUUUAUGACUGAGGAAUAAGUGAAGUGAGAGAAACGCUUCAUGGUGACUGUAGGUCAUGAAUAAGCAACGGCUAAUUACGUGCCAGCAGCCGCGGUAACACGUAAGUUGCGAGCGUUGUUCGGAAUUAUUGGGCGUAAAGGGUAUGUAGGCGGUUCUGCAAGUCUGGUGUGAAAUGCCGGGGCUCAACCCCGGAACUGUGUUGGAAACUGCAGGACUUGAAUCGCUGAGGGGCAGCCAGAAUUCCAGGUGUAGGGGUGAAAUCUGUAGAUAUCUGGAAGAAUACCAAUGGCGAAGGCAGGCUGCCAACAGAUGAUUGACGCUGAGGUACGAAGGUGCGGGGAGCAAACAGGAUUAGAUACCCUGGUAGUCCGCACAGUCAACUAUGUACACUGGGUGUCCGCUCAUGAGAGUGGGUGCCGAAGCAAACGCGAUAAGUGUACCGCCUGGGGAGUAUGCCCGCAAGGGUGAAACUCAAAGGAAUUGACGG